rnacentral:rRNA from 1 species
CCUACGGGAGGCAGCAGUGGGGAAUAUUGGGCAAUGGGCGCAAGCCUGACCCAGCAAUGCCGCGUGAAGGAAGAAGGCUUUCGGGUUGUAAACUUCUUUGACAGGGGAAGAGCAGAAGACGGUACCCUGAAAACAAGCCACGGCUAACUACGUGCCAGCAGCCGCGGUAAUACGUAGGUGGCAAGCGUUGUCCGGAUUUACUGGGUGUAAAGGGCGUGUAGCCGGGAAGGCAAGUCAGAUGUGAAAUCUGGAGGCUCAACCUCCAAAUUGCAUUUGAAACUGUUUUUCUUGAGUACUGGAGAGGCAGACGGAAGUCCUUGUGUAGCGGUGAAAUGCGUAGAUAUAAGGAGGAACAACAGUGGCGAAGGCGGUCUGCUGGACAGCAACUGACGGUGAGGCGCGAAAGCGUGGGGAGCAAACAGGAUUAGAUACCCCGGUAGUC